UACGGAAGGCAGCAGUGGGGAAUAUUGCACAAUGGGCGAAAGCCUGAUGCAGCUAUGCCGCGUGUAUGAAGAAGGCCUUAGGGUUGUAAAGUACUUUCAUCGGGGAGGAAAAACAAAACUAAUAAUUUUAUUUCUUGACGUUACCCGAAAAAGAAGCACCGGCUAACUCCGUGCCAGCAGCCGCGGUAAUACGGAGGGUGCUAGCGUUAAUCAGAAUUACUGGGCGUAAAGAGCACGUAGGUGGUUUUUUUAAGUUCAGAUGUGAAAUCCCUGGGCUUAACCUAGGAACUGCAUUUUGAAACUGAAAUACUAGAGUAUCGUAGAGGGAGGUAGAAUUCUAGGUGUAGCGGUGAAAUGCGUAGAUAUCUGGAGGAAUACCUGUGGCGAAAGCGGCCUCCUAAACGAAUACUGACACUGAGGGUGCGAAAGCGUGGGGA
rnacentral:rRNA from 1 species